AUUGAACGCUGGCGGCAGGCCUAACACAUGCAAGUCGAGCGAGCGGCGGACGGGUGUGCAAUGUAUGGGUCUCUGCCCGAUAGAGGGGUACCACUACUGGAAACUGUGGCUAAUACCGCAUUCUAUCGGCAGCACCCAUAUGGGAUUAGCUAGUAGGUGGGGUAAAGGCUCACCUAGGCGACGAUCUCUAGCUGGUCUGAGAGGAUGACCAGCCACACUGGGACUGAGACACGGCCCAGACUCCUACGGGAGGCAGCAGUGGGGAAUAUCGCACAAUGGGCGCAAGCCUGAUGCAGCCAUGCCGCGUGUAUGAAGAAGGCCUUAGGGUUGUAAAGUACUUUCAGCGGGGAGGCGUUACCCGCAGAAGAAGCACCGGCUAACUCCGUGCCAGCAGCCGCGGUAAUUC
rnacentral:rRNA from 1 species